rnacentral:rRNA from 1 species
UACGUAGGGGGCUAGCGUUGUCCGGAUUUAUUGGGCGUAAAGAGCGUGUAGGCGGCCAGGUAGGUCUGCUGUGAAAACUCGAGGCUCAACCUCGAGAUGUCGGCGGAAACCAUCUGGCUAGAGUCCGGAAGAGGAGAGUGGAAUUCCUGGUGUAGCGGUGAAAUGCGCAGAUAUCAGGAAGAACACCAAUGGCGAAGGCAGCUCUCUGGGACGGUACUGACGCUGAGACGCGAAAGCGUGGGGAGCGAACAGG